rnacentral:rRNA from 2 species
CUUGUCCGGAAUUACUGGGUGUAAAGGGAGCGUAGGCGGGAUGCCAAGUCAGCUGUGAAAACUAUGGGCUUAACCUGUAGACUGCAGUUGAAACUGGUAUUCUUGAGUGAAGUAGAGGUUGGCGGAAUUCCGAGUGUAGCGGUGAAAUGCGUAGAUAUUCGGAGGAACACCGGUGGCGAAGGCGGCCAACUGGGCUUUAACUGACGCUGAGGCUCGAAAGUGUGGGGAGCAAACAGGAUUAGAUACCCUGGUAGUCCACACUGUAAACGAUGAUAACUAGGUGUGGGGGGUCUGACCCCUUCCGUGCCGCAGCUAACGCAAUAAGUUAUCCACCUGGGGAGUACGACCGCAAGGUUGAUACUCAAAGGAAUUGACGGGGACCCGCACAAGCAGUGGAUUAUGUGGUUUAAUUCGAAGCAACGCGAAGAACCUUACCAGCACUUGACAUCCGACUAACGAAGUAGAGAUACAUUAGGUGCCCUUCGGGGAAAGUCGAGACAGGUGGUGCAUGGUUGUCGUCAGCUCGUGUCGUGAGAUGUUGGGUUAAGUCCCGCAACGAGCGCAACCCCUGCCAUUAGUUGCUACGCAAGAGCACUCUAAUGGGACCGCUACCGACAAGGUGGAGGAAGGUGGGGACGACGUCAAAUCAUCAUGCCCCUUAUGUGCUGGGCUACACACGUAAUACAAUGGCCAUCAACAAAGAGAAGCAAUACCGCGAGGUGGAGCAAAACUUCAAAAAUGGUCUCAGUUCGGACUGCAGGCUGCAACCCGCCUGCACGAAGUUGGAAUUGCUAGUAAUCGUGGAUCAGCAUGCCACGGUGAAUACGUUCCCGGGUCUUGUACACACCGCCCGUCACACCAUGGGAGUUGGUAACACCCGAAGUCAGUAGUCUAACCGCAAGGAGGACGCUGCCGAAGGUG